rnacentral:tRNA from 1 species
GGAGAGGUGGCAGAGUGGCUGAAUGCACCGGUUUGCUAAACCGGCAUACGCUUUCAUAGGCGUAUCGAGGGUUCGAAUCCCUCCCUCUCCG